AUUGAACGCUGGCGGCAGGCCUAACACAUGCAAGUCGAGCGGCUGAAGGGAGCUUGCUCCUGGAUUCAUCGGCGGACGGGUACGUAAUGCCUAUGAAUCUGCCUGGUAGUGGGGGAUAACGUCCGGAAACCGGCGCUAAUACCGCAUACGUCCUGUGGGAGAAAGUGGAGGAUCGUCGGACCCCACGCUAUCAGAUGAGCCUAGGCCGGAUUAGCUAGUUGGUGGGGUAAAGGCCUACCAAGGCGACGAUCCGUAACGGGUCUGAGAGGAUGAUCAGUCACACUGGAACUGAGACACGGUCCAGACUCCUACGGGAGGCAGCAGUGGGGAAUUUUGGACAAUGGGCGCAAGCCUGAUCCAGCCAUGCCGCGUGUGUGAAGAAGGUCUUCGGAUUGUAAAGCUCUUUAGGCUGGGAGGAAGGCGAAUAAGUUAAUACCGGGCGGGGAUGACGGUACCAACAGAAGAAGCACCGGCUAACUUCGUG
rnacentral:rRNA from 1 species